GUCCACGCCCUAAACGAUGAACACUAGGUAUCGGGGGAGUUAAAUCCUCCGGUGUCGCAGCUAACGCAUUAAGUGUUCCGCCUGGGGAGUAUGGCCGCAAGGUUGAAACUCAAAGGAAUUGACGGGGCCCGCACAAGCGGUGGAGCAUGUGGUUCAAUUCGACGCUACACGAAGAACCUUACCUAGGCUUGACAUCUGGGGAAUUUUUCUGGAAACAGAGAAGUGCCUCGCAAGAGGAGCCCCCAAGACAGGUGCUGCAUGGCUGUCGU
rnacentral:rRNA from 1 species